UGCACUCAAAAAAAUGGUUUUCCGGCACUGUUCGUUUUACACAUAUAUGUUUUGUUAAAACAACACAAAUAUAUUUAGUUUUCCGACAAAACACAAUUGUAUUGUGUUUAAUCAACUUAAAAUGUUUAAUUUUAAAUUUUACUUAAUUAUCAAUCGUUAAAGUAACGUAAAGGGUUUAAUUUCGUGAUUCAAAAAAAACCGGAAGUGACGAUUUCCAACGCAUUUGAUGACGGUGUGGAGGGGAGCAAGAGGUAUCAGUCAGGUAAGAAAAUCUAAAGUUUUUAUUGUGUUAAGUCAAAGUCUUUAAUUUCUCUUAGAGUUUCUGUUUUGAGGUGCUUUUGUUUUGCAGUCUAGUAUUGUGUAAUCGGUUUAUUGCACCGUUAAUAGAUGAUUUUGAAGCGUUGGGAGAUGUGAAAGCGCACGACUCUCUGUAAUGUAUUUACUUUAGUAUAUAUAUAUAUAUAUAUACACUAGGGCUGAAACAAUUACUCGACAUUAUCGACAACGUCGACGAUAAAAAUAAAAUUUUCAGCAAAUGUUUUUGAGUAACGUUAGUGGUUUGAUCUCGUAUCUGCCUGAUUUGAAAGCCUGCAUUAAUGCAGUUUGACCAGUGUGGCGCUGUAGCGCAAGAUUGUAAUACACUCUCCUGAUUCAAUUAAAAAGAAGAAGAUAGCACUUCAGUUUUAGGCAAACCGACCCGAUCCGAACCUUGGAUGAAUAUGUUUGUGCAGAAUUUGAGACAUCCAGAAUUACCAUAGGCCCAUUAGAAUCAACAAUCUUUGCCAAACUUGAUUCGGACUGCAAAAUUUACGAAGAUGUUUUCAUACUGAAGAAGAGACCUUGGACAAAUACUGAAACCCUCUUGGUGCCCACUACACAGGCAGGGGUGUCCAGACCUGCUCUAGGAAAGCCAGUGUUCUGUGGGGUUCAGCUCUAACACACCUGCCUGGAACUUCAGACUAAUGAAAUUGAAGUAUCCAAAUGAAGACCCUAGCAGUAUGGAGUAUAUGGAUACAGACGUUGCCAGCAGUCAGGAGGUGAUCCAGAAGACUCCUGGGAAUCUAUUUGAAGCUGCAUCAUUGAAGACAGUCCAGCAGAAGUUGGAGUUUUAAAGGAUAAAGUUCUUCAGGACCUAUAGCAGUUUACAGUCUGUAAAACCAUGUUACUGGGACUGAUUUAUGGACUGAACUUGAGCAACCCUCCUGAACUCAGGUACACAUUUGGAAUACUGAAGAAGUUAUUUCUGGAGCCACUUCCUGUUCCUGGAAUAAGGUUUGAUUGGUUGCCCAUGAAUGCCAAUUAGAAUUGUAUUUGCUAUUUUGUGUAAUUUUGUAAUGUGGUUUAAACUGUAUUUUACUGUGUGUAAUUAUUUAUUGCUUGUUUAACAAAUACACUUUGAUCAUUUGUGA